AUACGGAGGGGGUUAGCGUUGUUCGGAAUUACUGGGCGUAAAGCGUACGUAGGCGGAUCGGAAAGUAAGGGGUGAAAUCCCAGAGCUCAACCCUGGAACUGCCUCUUAAACUCCCGGUCUUGAGUUCGAGAGAGGUGAGUGGAAUUCCUAGUGUAGAGGUGAAAUUCGUAGAUAUUAGGAGGAACACCAGUGGCGAAGGCGGCUCACUGGCUCGAUACUGACGCUGAGGUACGAAAGUGUGGGGAGCAAACAGGAUUAGAAACCCCAGUAGUCC
rnacentral:rRNA from 1 species